rnacentral:rRNA from 1 species
UACAGGGGGUGCAACCGUUGCUCGGAAUUAUUGGGCGUAAAGCGCGCGUAGGCGGUGACUCAAGUCGGAUGUGAAAGCCCUUGGCUUAACCGAGGAAGUGCAUCCGAAACUGAGUCGCUAGAGUACGAUAGAGGGUCGCGGAAUUCCCGGUGUAGAGGUGAAAUUCGUAGAUAUCGGGAGGAACACCGGUGGCGAAGGCGGCGACCUGGGUCGAUACUGACGCUGAGGCGCGAAAGCGUGGGGAGCAAACAGG